rnacentral:rRNA from 1 species
UACGAGGGGGGCAAGCGUUGUUCGGAAUUACUGGGCGUAAAGCGUGCGCAGGCGGUUUUGCAAGACAGAUGUGAAAUCCCCGGGCUCAACCUGGGAACUGCAUUUGUGACUGCAAGGCUAGAAUCUGGCAGAGGGGGGUAGAAUUCCACGUGUAGCAGUGAAAUGCGUAGAUAUGUGGAGGAAUACCGAUGGCGAAGGCAGCCCCCUGGGCUAAGAUUGACGCUCAUGCACGAAAGCGUGGGGAGCAAACAGG